ACGCUCGACACCUACGGGAGGCAGCAGUGGGGGAUAUUGCACAAUGGGGGAAACCCUGAUGCAGCAACGCCGCGUGUGGGAAGAAGGUUUUCGGAUUGUAAACCACUGUUCUCAGGGACGAUAAUGACGGUACCUGAGGAGAAAGCUCCGGCUAACUACGUGCUAGCAGCCGCGGUAAUCUGAGCGGGCUGGCAAGGC
rnacentral:rRNA from 1 species